CGAUUUUUCAAGCACAGUAAUCUCCAUAGAAUAGCGAGCGAGAAUACUCUCACCUUUGCCAAGCGCCUACUUGAAGUUUCAUCUUUCCUUACGCGCAGAAAUUCACGUCGCAUGUUCAUUCUGACGAUACUCGUGGUCUUUCGUGAGGUUCGUGACCAGAAACCUUGGACCAUGUUUCCCUCGUUUCGAAAUGUUUCUUCCCUCUUGGUCUCUUCAUCAUCCACUGAAUUCUUAAACACAUACUCCCAUCCUGACACAUACUUUAACUAUAUAGGAUUUUUCCAACCUAACAAAUCCCUUAGAGGUUUACAACAGUCAGGUUAUGCUUACAAGCUCAUGAUGACCUGUUUCCCUUUUUAAUUGAAAAGUAUUAGCAGCAGCGUGAACAGAAAAUGUCUUCUUGUGGAAUUUUACAUCAAACAUUUUUAUUUUCUUCAGUAAAAGCAUAUUUUCGCGUCUGAGUUUUGCAAUCAUUUAAUAACUUAGGGGCUGUUACGGGUCAAGCUUUUCUUAGAACUAACCUCUCUUGCAGACUACCUUCGUGCAAAGGGAACCCUUAGUGAGGAUACCAUCCAUAUUUUUUUACGUCAAAUAGCUUCUGCCAUGUGCAUGCUGCAAUCCAAAGGUGUUGUGCACAGAGAUCUAAAGCCUCAGAAUCUACUGCUGCACUAUGCAGGGACAACCACACCCUCACCAUCACAGAUCAAAAUAAAGAUUGCUGACUUUGGGUUUGCAAGAUUUCUCCCUGGUAAAAUGAUGGCUGCUACUUUAUGUGGAUCUCCUAUGUACAUGG